CCUACGGGAGGCAGCAGUGGGGAAUAUUGCACAAUGGGGGAAACCCUGAUGCAGCGACGCCGCGUGAGUGAAGAAGUAUUUCGGUACGUAAAGCUCUAUCAGCAGGGAAGAAAAUGACGGUACCUGACUAAGAAGCCCCGGCUAACUACGUGCCAGCAGCCGCGGUAAUACGUAGGGGGCAAGCGUUAUCCGGAUUUACUGGGUGUAAAGGGAGCGUAGACGGCAGCGUAAGUCUGGAGUGAAAUCCCGGGGCUUAACCCUGGAACUGCUUUGGAAACUGUGCAGCUGGAGGGCAGUAGAGGUAAGGGGAAUUGCUGGUGUGGCGGUGAAAUGCGUAGAUAUCAGGAGGAACAGCGGUGGCGAAAGCGAGUUACUGGACCAUUAUUGACGCUGAGGAACGAAAGUCAGGGGAGCAAAUGGGAUUAGAUACCCGUGUAGUC
rnacentral:rRNA from 1 species